rnacentral:rRNA from 1 species
UGGGGAAUAUUGCGCAAUGGGCGAAAGCCUGACGCAGCGACGCCGCGUGAGGGAUGAAGGUCUUCGGAUCGUAAACCUCUGUCAAGGGGGAAGAAAGGCGCGGGUGUGAAUAAUACCUGUGAUUGACGGUACCCCUAAAGGAAGCACCGGCUAACUCCGUGCCAGCAGCCGCGGUAAUACGGAGGGUGCGAGCGUUAAUCGGAAUCACUGGGCGUAAAGGGAGCGCAGGUGGAUCGUAAAGUCUUGUUUAAAAGAGCGGGGCUCAACCCCGUUAGGGACAAGAAACUUAAGAUCUUGAGUGCAGGAGAGGGAAGCGGAAUUCCUAGUGUAGCGGUGAAAUGCGUAGAUAUUAGGAGGAACACCAGUGGCGAAGGCGGCCUGCUGGGCUUUAACUGACGCUGAGGCUCGAAAGCGUGGGGGGCAAACA